rnacentral:rRNA from 1 species
UUGCCCCAGUAACGGCGAGUGAAGCGGCAACAGCUCAAAUUUGAAAUCUGGCCCCCAGGGCCCGAGUUGUAAUUUGCAGAGGAUGCUUUUGGCGCGGCGCCUUCCGAGUUCCCUGGAACGGGACGCCAUAGAGGGUGAGAGCCCCGUCUGGUCGGACGCCUAGCCUGUGUAAAGCUCCUUCGACGAGUCGAGUAGUUUGGGAAUGCUGCUCUAAAUGGGAGGUAUAUGUCUUCUAAAGCUAAAUACCGGCCAGAGACCGAUAGCGCACAAGUAGAGUGAUCGAAAGAUGAAAAGCACUUUGAAAAGAGGGUUAAACAGUACGUGAAAUUGUUGAAAGGGAAGCGCUUGUGACCAGACUUGGGCCCGGUGGAUCAUCCAGCGUUCUCGCUGGUGCACUCCGCCGGGUCCAGGCCAGCAUCAGUUCGCCGCGGGGGAGAAAGGCCUCGGGAACGUGGCUCCUACGGGAGUGUUAUAGCCCGUUGCACAAUACCCUGGGGCGGACUGAGGUUCGCGCUCCGCAAGGAUGC